CUUUCACUAACGAGUACUUUUUGAUUUAAAAAAUGUUAACAUAACAUUUAUUUGAAGCAAGGAACGAUAGCUAGCAUAUAAACAUAUAUUUGGAUAUAGAGUGCUUCACAGGUAAACAAUUAAAAUUAUGUAAAUAUACGCAAUUUUUUUUAUUUUUCACUUACUCGUUCUUCCUUUUUUUUUUUAAAAAACACAUUUGGGUAAUGAACAGCUGUAGACAAUAAUCAGUGUCCUUUAUCUUACAAUAAUUCACUCAGGGUCUGAAAUGUUAUUAUAAAAAGCAAAAAUUUUGUUUCUCACAUAGUAGAUGUAACACAAUUAGAUAAAUAAAAAUGGUCCAAUACAUUGCUUAUAGCUAUUUGAAAGGAUCUUGAAGACAUUAUUAGCAGUACAGCUUACUAAAAAUUGCAACGGAAUGUCCGCAUUCUAGUAUAAUGUCCACAUACAGUAAAUAGUGUUAAAUAAUUCUAAAAUAAAGGUACUUAAAAUUGCUAACGCAAUCUGAUCAAUCUCAGGACUGUUAAAUUAAUGCUGGUUGUCUAUGUAUUGCUUCCCCAUCUCUGACUGUAGGAAUGAUAUCACCCAUUGAAAGGUCCUGUAUUGUUUGAAAGCAGGGAAUCAUCUUACAUUAUCAGCAACUUUACAGGUAUUCUAUCAGUGACUAGUGGCGUCUGGCAUUCUGAUAAUCAUAACUAGAGAAUAAAUCAUGGUGAGUGAGGCAAAAUACAUACAAAUAAAAUGUAUGCUUAAUUUGGGUAGUGAAGGGGUUACACAGUGAUAGUAGCUGUGACUCCAUGUAUCACGGUGUUUCUUAGAACUAUUAUGCAGUGCUACAUGAGAGACAAUAGAGAAGCCAUCUCCCAGGUAUCUGGCCCUGCCUGAGAAUAGACCUUAAAGGGACACUCGACUAUCCAAAUUUAAAAAAAAAUGUUUAGUAGAUGCACCCCCAAUGAAAGAAUGUAUACAUUAAAUUAAUCGUUUUUUAAUUGGUGGUAUAUCUUAAAACUGCUUGUAAGAGCUGUAGUUCUUU